rnacentral:rRNA from 1 species
UACGUAGGGUGCAAGCGUUGUCCGGAAUUAUUGGGCGUAAAGAGCUCGUAGGCGGUCUGUCGCGUCGGAUGUGAAAACCCAGGGCUCAACCCUGGGCCUGCAUUCGAUACGGGCAGACUAGAGUUCGGUAGGGGAGACUGGAAUUCCUGGUGUAGCGGUGAAAUGCGCAGAUAUCAGGAGGAACACCGGUGGCGAAGGCGGGUCACUGGCCCGAUACUGACGCUGAGGCACGAAAGCGUGGGGAGCAAACAGG